CUCUGCGGGGGAUGGGGUAGGAUUUUUUUUUAAGGGGGGGGGAAAGCACACAAAACCCCCCUAAACUUUAUUUUAAUCAGCUCCCAGUCGUGCGGGGGACAUGGUCUGCGAGCAGCUCGCGAACGUGACUGUCUUCUGGGCGUUCCCUGACACGGCCACAGCUCGGUCCCUUUGGUACGAGCUGGAAGCACCGACGGGACCACUGUGGCUGGUUGGGCCCGGGCAUCUUGCGCCAAUACGUAUCUGUUAGCUUCCCCGCGUCCCCACGGAGCCAUGCACCGAGCACGAGUGUUCCCGCGCCACGUGUGGCACUGCUUAAAAAUACACACGGCCUAUUACUUUCAAAAGCCCCACAGAGACAAAGGCAGCAACAGAGAAUCUGAAUCUUGGAGCUGUUCAUCCUAAAGAAGCCCCUGACUCCUUCUGGAGCCUGAGUGAAAGUCUUCAAUGUUUCAAGUCGGGAAGGGAAUCCAGCUGUCCACAGCAGCUCCCAGGAAGGUGUUCUAAUUAACAAAAGCUAAAGGAAGCAUUGGAAAUUGUGUCACAAACAUACACAAUAAAUCCAUCUGACAGAACAAGCUUGCAAAAUAA